rnacentral:rRNA from 1 species
AGCGAACGCUGGCGGCAGGCCUAACACAUGCAAGUCGAACGGACCCUUCGGGGUUAGUGGCGGACGGGUGAGUAACACGUGGGAACGUGCCUUUAGGUUCGGAAUAGCUCCUGGAAACGGGUGGUAAUGCCGAAUGUGCCCUUCGGGGGAAAGAUUUAUCGCCUGUGGAGCGGCCCGCGUCUGAUUAGCGUGUUGGUGAGGUAACGGCUCACCAAGGCUUGGAUCAGUAGCUGGUCUGGGAGGAUGACCAGCCACACUGGGAAUGAGAUACGGCCCAGACUGAUAAGGGAGGAAGCAGUGGGGAAGAUUGUAAAAGGGGCGGAAGCCUGAUGCAGAAACGCAGGGUGCGGGAGGACGGAAUUCGGGUUGGAAACAGAUUUAGCCUGGGAAGAAGCGUGAGUGACGGUAAUGGGUAAAGAAGCAACGGCGAACUACGUG